UACGAAGGGGGCUAGCGUUGUUCGGAAUUACUGGGCGUAAAGGGCGCGUAGGCGGUGUGUCAAGUCAGGCGUGAAAGCCCCGGGCUCAACCUGGGAACCGCGCUUGAGACUGGCACGCUAGAGUUCGGGAGAGGAUGGUGGAAUUCCCAGUGUAGAGGUGAAAAUGCGUAGAGAUGUGGAGGAACACCAGUGGCGAAGGCGGCUUUCUGGUCUGUAACUGACGCUGAG
rnacentral:rRNA from 1 species